rnacentral:misc_RNA from 1 species
UCCGGUUUAUCACCGGCAGUCACCUUAGAGUGCCCAACUAAAUGCUGGCAACUAAGAUCAAGGGUUGCGCUCGUUGCGGGACUUAACCCAACAUCUCACGACACGAGCUGACGACAACCAUGCACCACCUGUCACUUCUGUCCCCCGAAGGGGAAAACUCUGUCUCCAGAGCGGGCAGAAGGAUGUCAAGACCUGGUAAGGUUCUUCGCGUUGCUUCGAAUUAAACCACAUGCUCCACCGCUUGUGCGGGCCCCCGUCAAUUCCUUUGAGUUUCAGCCUUGCGGCCGUACUCCCCAGGCGGAGUGCUUAAUGUGUUAGCUGCGGCACCGGCGGUAACCCGCCGACACUUAGUAUCCAUAGUUUAAGGCGUGGACUAC